rnacentral:misc_RNA from 1 species
UACGGAGGGUGCAAGCGUUAUCCGGAUUCACUGGGUUUAAAGGGUGCGUAGGUGGAAUGGUAAGUCAGUGGUGAAAGCUCCCCGCUCAACGGGGAAAUUGCCAUUGAUACUGUCAUUCUUGAGUACAGUUGAGGUAAGCGGAAUGGGUCAUGUAGCGGUGAAAUGCAUAGAUAUGACCCAGAACACCCAUUGCGAAGGCAGCUUACUAAACUGUUACUGACACUGAGGCACGAAAGCGUGGGUAGCGAACAGG